CACAGACCCAAACAAGGAAGGACCACACCCUUCCCCCUUGUCUAGCAUCAUCGGAACCUGCUCUGGCCUUCAAUGGAAGGGAUUCCAUUCAAAGCAGUGAAGGUGGAUGUUGUCACACACUCUGUCCAGAACAUCAAAACCCAGCAACCCAAGCAGCCAACUUCAGCCCCCAGGCUAUAGCAGUUACGAAACCGGUUUUCUGAAGUAAAAAGGAAUCAACAAGA